rnacentral:rRNA from 1 species
GUAGGUGGCAAGCGUUGUCCGGAAUUAUUGGGGCGUAAAGCGCGCGCAGGCGGUUCUUUAAGUCUGAUGUGAAAGCCCACGGGCUCAACCGUGGAGGGUCAUUGGAAACUGGAGAACUUGAGUACAGAAGAGGAAAGCGGAAUUCCACGUGUAGCGGUGAAAUGCGUAGAGAUGUGGAGGAACACCAGUGGCGAAGGCGGCUUUCUGGUCUGUAACUGACGCUGAGGCGCGAAAGCGUGGGGAGCAAACAGGAUUAGAUACCCUGGUAGUCCACGCCGUAAACGAUGAGUGCUAAGUGUUAGGGGGUUUCCGCCCCUUAGUGCUGCAGCUAACGCAUUAAGCACUCCGCCUGGGGAGUACGACCGCAAAGGUUGA